CAGCAGAGACCAAGGUUCCUAUCCAUAGUCCUGUCUGUGGUUGGGUUUAGGCAACAGAUGCAUUUUGGCUGUGGAGAUGGGGACCAGUGGUGUGAUCUUGGGAGGAUAAAUUGUAAAAACGGUAUUUAUAGUAUGUAGUUUUUCAGUAUCAGAAACAAUCACCAAAAAAAACCCAAAACAAAACAAAACAUGAAGGGUGAUUGUGUGUUUGAGUCAUUAACUGAGUUUUAUCUCUGGAUCUUCAUCCUCUCUCUCUCUCUCUCUCUCCCUUGUGUGUGAGGUUUCUCAUAGUGUCUUCUCCCUUCUGUGUGCAUGGUGUGCUAGACUCCACUGUCUGUCCUCUUCCCAGGUCCGUGUGGUGGAGAGCGGGUCGGGCGGCUCUGUUUGGCAGCACCUGGAAGCUGCUCCAUGUCUUCUUGGAUCUGUAGUCUUCAUACAUGUCUACAAUAUGUCUAUAAAUUUGCCAUCCUGAUAUUUUGGUCCAUUCUGUGCAACAUAUACUGUGUGUACUUACGCAAAUCCGGGGACUAAGGAGACAGAAGCCAAAUUCAGCGGCUGGAUCCUUGGGAAGCUGUUUUUGAAGGCCGAUUGCGUCACAGCACGACUACACUGUCCAUUUCAAUGGCUCCUUCGAUGCAGUGGUAACGAAAGCAAACACCACUGACAGAGAGCCUGAGGAUUACACCAUCAAAUGUAAGUACUGGGUUUCAGCUCAGUUCAACGGCUAAUUGUACAACUGUUAAACCACAGGCCUUAAAAGCUCAGGUUUUUGUGAAAAAAAAGCUACAUGUUGUCAAGGUUCCCAGAUGACAGGAGACGCGCUUCGUGAUGCAACGGUACCUACUGGUGACGCACAGCGUAAAUCCUCUGUAGACCAGACUGUCUACUUUCGGUUUGGCCCGCAGCCAACGACGGCUACAAAGCGCCUCACCUUCGUUAACCACGUCCUCCGAAGGAUGUGGUCCCUGAAUUGGGACACAGCUUGAGUGUUAUGCUGUAAACCUCCUUGAGGCAAAUGUCUGAUUUGUGAUAUUUGUGAGCUAUAUGAAUAAAACUCACUUAACUUCA